rnacentral:misc_RNA from 1 species
GCGAGUUCAACUCUCUAAAACCAUUGUGAACGAACUGCCAAACGUUGCUUCGGCGGGGUCUCCCGCCGACAGAACGCAAACUCUGUAAUUAUUGUAUCUCUGAGUAUACUUUUAAUAAGUUA